rnacentral:lncRNA from 1 species
UUCAGGUUAAGGAUCCGAUGGUGAUCGGACAUGAGUGUGCUGGGAUCGUAGACAAAGUUGGGAGCGAGGUGAAGCAUCUGGUGCCUGGUGACCGUGUGGCUGUUGAGCCCGGCAUCAGCUGCGCACAUUGCCAGCAGUGCAAAGGCGGCCGCUACAAUCUAUGCCCUGACAUGAAGUUUUUCGCCACCCCACCUGUUCAUGGUUCAUUGGCGAAUCAGAUUGUGCACCCCGCGGAUCUGUGCUUUAAAUUGCCGGAAAAUGUGAGCUUGGAAGAAGGGGCAAUGUGUGAGCCCUUGAGUGUUGGGGUUCACGCUUGUCGGCGAGCCAAUGUUGGUCCCGAAACAACUGUUCUGAUCGUCGGCGCAGGGCCGAUCGGGCUGGUUUCCGUGCUGGCUGCUCGUGCUUUCGGAGCACCAAGAAUUGUCAUCGUAGAUAUGGAUGACAGGCGUUUAGCCAUGGCAAAGUCUCUCGGCGCCGAUGGCACGGUCAAAGUUUCGACAAAAAUGGAGGAUUUAGAUGACGAAGUUGCCAAGAUUAAAGAAGCUAUGGGAUCCGAAGUUGAUGUGACCUUCGACUGUGUUGGCUUCAACAAAACCAUGUCUACGGGCCUCAAUGCCACUCGUCCUGGCGGCAAAGUUUGCCUUGUCGGAAUGGGACACGGGGUGAUGACGGUCCCUCUCACUCCGGCUGCUGCCAGGGAGGUUGACGUGGUUGGAGUUUUUCGUUACAAGAACACAUGGCCGCUUUGCCUAGAGUUUUUGAGAAGCGGGAAGAUCGACGUGAAGCCGCUUAUUACCCACCGGUUUGGUUUUACCGAGAAGGAGGUGGAAGAAGCUUUUGCAACCAGUGCUCGGGGGGGCAACGCCAUUAAAGUCAUGUUUACUCUAUAGCAAAUCAACCAUGAAGUUGCAGAAUUUCGGAUUGUUUGAGGGGGCAAGUUUGUGAUGGUUUGGAAAUUUGGAAGUCAUCAUCUCGGAUGAAGAAUGUUCUUGUUCUAAAGUUCGUGGAAACUUGUUGUACAGGGACCAUUGUAUACCUUUAUUAGAUCUCGGCAUGCACCAGUGUAGUAGCUUCCCGUAUUUUUAACAUGAGUCCGUCAAUAUAUAUGAACUAUGUAUGUAACUAAAAGUUCUUCAAUAUAAGUCUUUUUUUCCGCUGAAGUUGUUUUCAUUUGACACGAGUCUGUUGGCCUUGCUUCAGUUCCUUUGGACCAUCGAAGAGAGUACUAGACACAUCGUGAUGGAGAAAUAUAGACGUACUUCUAUUAGUGUAGAAAAUAUAUACCUUGAGUUACUGUUGUUCCAAUAGCAUUUCUUGCUGCAGUAGCGUAUGGUAGAGCAGUUUAUGAAUAUCUACGCGGUGGAUUUGAUUUUACCAAAGAUGAUGAGAAUGUUAAUUCCUAACAAUUUUACAAAU